rnacentral:lncRNA from 1 species
UUUUUAAACACAUAUACCCUUUGUGAUUAAAAAAUAUAUUUCUAAUUCAUUUAAGGGCAAAUCUCCAAAAUAGCAUCUUUCUAAGUUUAUAUCACAAAAAUAGCACUCAAAAACUAAAAUGACCAAAAUAGCACCUUUCUAAGUUUAUCAUUUGAAAAUUUUAAUUUUUUUAUUUUUCAAAAUUUAAAAUCUUAUCCCCAAAACCUCAUUUCACAUUUCUAAGUUUAUAUCACAAAAAUAGCACUCAAAAACUAAAAUGACCAAAAUAGCACAUUUCUAAGUUUAUCCAUUGAAAAUUUUAAUUUUUUUAUUUUUCAAAAUUUGAAAUCUUAUCCCCAAAACCUCAUUUCUCAACUCUAAACCCUAAACCCUAAACUCUAAACCCUAAACCCUAAACCCUAAACCCUAAAACCUAAACCAUAAACUCUAAACCCUAAACCCUAAACUCUAAACCCUAAACUCUAAACCCUAAACCCUAAACCCUAAAUUCUAA